ACCUGUGAGUGGCUGCAAUGUGCCGCAAGGCAUCUUGUCUUCCAGAAAUUCAGAAAAAAAAAAAAAACGUAGAAGAAGAAGAAGACUAGAAAUUAUCUGUUAUGUUUAGGCGCCAAAGUUCUUCACUGCAUCAACAUUUAACUUUAGCGUUGGGACUUGAAAGCUGAAGCUCGUUAUCCUUCAUUCCAUUUCAUUGAUAGGAUUCUCUUUUUCAGUGUGCAUAGAGUUAAUGUGUGUGGUUGCGCGGUGCGUAGUUCAUUGGUGGACAGUUGGUUAACUCGGCUUUCCAUACAUUUUAUGAACUGAAACUAACGAUGCCAUAGACUGAACGGAUUCAGAGCUAUGCGCCGCAGUAAUUUUACGGGAGUGGAACAGCCGAGAUCCCAAGAGAGGUAGUGCUGGAGGAAGAGUAUUUUUCACAACGAGGCCAUUUUUGCGACGAGUGGGGACCGUUCAAGGAGUGGAGCAGUACAGACCGCAUCAUUGCCUAUUCAAGAAGUCCCCAAUUGGCCACCUCUUCAUCUGACUCGGAAGCUGUUGCUUCAUCCAGCACUAUGUCUUACCCCAGUCAAAUAACCAUUCUGUGUGAGAACAGCAGUUGGUUGGACAGGUUCCAGGUGCCAUGGGACAAAAUGAGGCCCACUCUCAAAAGAACCAUUGAUGCUGGUAAGAGGCCAGAGGCAGAAGAUUGCCGACACAUGGUGAAAGUCAUUUUCAAUUUCAUGAGAGAACACUCCUUGAACCAGACACGCAAAGACUGCACAGCAGUAGCAAAAGCUAUAACUCAGAAGUAUCCAGGGAGCUUUUGAGACAAAACUGAGGAGGGAGAAAUAAUUGGAUGGGGAUACUUCAGUUUACUAAAUCAGCUCAAGACCAGAAUUGAGUAUGUCAAUAGAGGCAACACACUCUCCUGUCUGAGGAAGCCCAGAUGCUCUCAGACAAGUGAUGAUGACCAGCCGUCAGCUGCCAAAUGUGCUAGAAUUAACAGUUAUGGGUGUAUUAGUUGGCAGCCACAGGAGUACCCAGAGGGGGAAACAUCAGCAUCACUUGAAGAAAAGAGGAUAGAGAUGGUGGAUAUAUUCAGUCAAGAGGGGCUAAGGGCAACUGGGAGAGGGCGGGUAAAGGAGCUAAUGACAAUCACAUAUACAAAACAGUGAGAGGACAUAAAUGCAGACCCAUCCCCCAGCAUUCUUGACAUAAGUAAGAAGUGGCCAUUUCUCCUGUCUUGGAAGUUCUUACUGUCCUACUUCACCACCCUCACUAGAGUUGAACUAUACUCCAGACUGAAUGAAGACUUGGAUAAAAAGGGGAAGAGGCUCCUGGAGUUCUUCAGAGGUCAGCGGAUGAAGAGGAGUAAGGAAGUUAAAGCUGUUCUGAAAGAGGUCUUGAAGGAGGACCGAGAGGGCACCGAUGGUCUUGGAGCGAUGCUGGUCAUGAUGUCACAUUUCAAAGAGGCAGAGUACACCCUUUUUCUCCUUGCUGAUGAAUCUUCAUUUUGCUGUGGAACGGCACUGUGGAACUGAUGGACUGAAUAGUGAUGGAAUCACUAAGAUCCUAAGAGGCAAAGAGCCAUAAACCUUUUUGCUCAGCCAAGUCACUUUUGUUCAACUAUGGAAAAGGGUGGGCUCUCUGUGCAUGUGGAUUUGUCUGUAAGGGGGAAACACUAUUAUGAAGAUGUUGAUGUAAUGAAGUUUUAAAAUAAGUAAGUUAUAUAGGUUAAAUAAGUUUUAAAUAGAACUGUUAGUUUUGAAAAUGCUUGGUCCAAAUUUCAUAAAGUAUACCAGCUGUUAAGUAUGCACUUAAUAAUACACCGUGUUUGCAGUUAGCAUUGAGGUUUUUCUAAAGGUGUAAUACUUAAUUUUGUCUGAUAUUUAAUUGGGUCAUUUUCCUGUGUAAACACAAAAGACUCAACUUGAUGAGACACAGCUAGAGUUACUUUUUAAGCUGUCUACCUCAAAUAGAGUUUUAAUUUCCUAUAGAGCACAUGCCAGCUCUAUCACAGCACUUUAUCGGCACCUUCUUACUAUGGCAACUCCCCCACAAUCCCAGAGUUUAUGAGUGGACUUUCUUUCAGGGGAAUUAAAUUGUUUGCGUUCAAAGUGUUUUUAAAUAUUGUGUUUUAUGUAGAGAUAAUGUAUUUGCCAAAGAGUGCCUUUUCAACUACAGAAUAUCUGUAAAAUGGCUUGGCAGAAGAAAUGGCUUCAUAUUUUUUUUAUGUUGAUUUGUUAUUGCCACUGUUUUUAAAUAUGCAAUCCUCAUGUUUUUGGAUAUUAAUAUCCAUUGUUGUAGGGUUGCUAAUAUUUUAAAUGUGUAGAGAGUGCAGCUGCUUGUCAGUUAUGCACAGUUUAGAAGACAUGGAAGAUAAUUGUACAUGCUGUGGAAGACAAACUUCAUUGUGCAUGUGUGUGGAAGCCAUGGGAUGCUGACCCAUUAAGCACAAGAAAAAUGUUUAUGCUUUUUACUUCUCAACAAUUAAGAAUAAAUAGUUGAAUGUAUUGUUUGCCAUCUUUCUGAAGUUAUUGUUGAAGCUUAAAAAAUGUCAAAAAUUUUAAAAUGCAGUAAAUGUUUAUUUUAACAGAAGAAUACUGGUAAUCUGUAAAUGUAUUUAACAGUUACAUUACUGAUACUGUAACUUAAAUAUACAGUAUUUAAGUUUCUAUUUUACAGUCAAAAAUUGGAAAUUACUGUAUUUUAAAGUUAAAACACUACUACUGUAAACUAGAAAGCAGUACUUCGAAAUUACUGUGGUUUAUUUUACAAUUGAAACACUGUGAACAAAAUAGCAGUACUUCGAAAUUACUGUGGUUUAUUUUAGUUACAUGGUUGCUACUGUAAAUAAAAACAGUAAAAAUAUGGUUAUUUAUGUUACGGUAAGUUACUUGUAAAUUGCUGCCAGUUAAUUACUGUGAAUUUCACAGCAAGUUUCUUACAGUGUACCAUCAAAUGUCUGGUUACCGACAUUCUUCCAAACAUCAUCUUUUGUGUUCAGCAGAAGAAAGAAACUCAUACAGGUUUGGAACAACUUGAGGCUGAGUAA